rnacentral:rRNA from 1 species
AGAGUUUGAUCAUGGCUCAGAUUGAACGCUGGCGGCAGGCCUAACACAUGCAAGUCGAGCGGUAGCACAGAGAGCUUGCUCUCGGGUGACGAGCGGCGGACGGGUGAGUAAUGUCUGGGAAACUGCCUGAUGGAGGGGGAUAACUACUGGAAACGGUAGCUAAUACCGCAUAACGUCGCAAGACCAAAGUGGGGGACCUUCGGGCCUCAUGCCAUCAGAUGUGCCCAGAUGGGAUUAGCUAGUAGGUGGGGUAAUGGCUCACCUAGGCGACGAUCCCUAGCUGGUCUGAGAGGAUGACCAGCCACACUGGAACUGAGACACGGUCCAGACUCCUACGGGAGGCAGCAGUGGGGAAUAUUGCACAAUGGGCGCAAGCCUGAUGCAGCCAUGCCGCGUGUGUGAAGAAGGCCUUCGGGUUGUAAAGCACUUUCAGCGGGGAGGAAGGCGGUGAGGUUAAUAACCUCAUCGAUUGACGUUACCCGCAGAAGAAGCACCGGCUAACUCCGUGCCAGCAGCCGCGGUAAUACGGAGGGUGCAAGCGUUAAUCGGAAUUACUGGGCGUAAAGCGCACGCAGGCGGUCUGUCAAGUCGGAUGUGAAAUCCCCGGGCUCAACCUGGGAACUGCAUUCGAAACUGGCAGGCUAGAGUCUUGUAGAGGGGGGUAGAAUUCCAGGUGUAGCGGUGAAAUGCGUAGAGAUCUGGAGGAAUACCGGUGGCGAAGGCGGCCCCCUGGACAAAGACUGACGCUCAGGUGCGAAAGCGUGGGGAGCAAACAGGAUUAGAUACCCUGGUAGUCCACGCCGUAAACGAUGUCGAUUUGGAGGUUGUGCCCUUGAGGCGUGGCUUCCGGAGCUAACGCGUUAAAUCGACCGCCUGGGGAGUACGGCCGCAAGGUUAAAACUCAAAUGAAUUGACGGGGGCCCGCACAAGCGGUGGAGCAUGUGGUUUAAUUCGAUGCAACGCGAAGAACCUUACCUGGUCUUGACAUCCACAGAACUUUCCAGAGAUGGAUUGGUGCCUUCGGGAACUGUGAGACAGGUGCUGCAUGGCUGUCGUCAGCUCGUGUUGUGAAAUGUUGGGUUAAGUCCCGCAACGAGCGCAACCCUUAUCCUUUGUUGCCAGCGGUCCGGCCGGGAACUCAAAGGAGACUGCCAGUGAUAAACUGGAGGAAGGUGGGGAUGACGUCAAGUCAUCAUGGCCCUUACGACCAGGGCUACACACGUGCUACAAUGGCAUAUACAAAGAGAAGCGACCUCGCGAGAGCAAGCGGACCUCAUAAAGUAUGUCGUAGUCCGGAUUGGAGUCUGCAACUCGACUCCAUGAAGUCGGAAUCGCUAGUAAUCGUAGAUCAGAAUGCUACGGUGAAUACGUUCCCGGGCCUUGUACACACCGCCCGUCACACCAUGGGAGUGGGUUGUAAAAGAAGUAGGUAGCUUAACCUUCGGGAGGGCGCUUACCACUUUGUGAUUCAUGACUGGGGUGAAGUCGUAACAAGGUAACCGUAGGGGAACCUGCGGUUGGAUCACCU